GUAAUGACCUGGAGGUCACAGCUGGCAUGGCGCCGGCUACACGUGUUUCUGCGUUUACGUCAGUUUUUGAGCCAUUUUCUUCAUAAAUAAGCAAAGAUCGACUCAUCAUGGCGACUAGAAGUACGGAGAAGAGACCGGAGAACCGACACAGGUUCAAGACGUUCUCGGAGAGGUUAUCUGAGGUGAACAUCGAUGUGGUUCAUCGGAUCAGCAGGGUGCGCGACCCACAGGACAUUGACACAUAUUUUGGAGAGGGAGUUCAGAAGUGGAAAGAGCUGAACUGCACACAGCACUUCUGUAAGUCAGGAUAACAGUGUCCUAUGACCUUGUACCU